CCAUCCAUGACCCCGGGGCUCAGAGGCAGCGCCCGCAGACAGUGGGACCCUCUGCCCAGGCGCCCCGCUUGCCGGCCCUCCAGGCUGCGUAGCCCGGGUGGCGCUGGGUGUGGAUGCGGGCGCUGGUGGGGAGGGUGUCCCUUCCUCCGGGCUUCCCUCCCUCUGGGACAUUGGCCCCAGGGCCUCUGUAUCUCUGGAGCCUCCCUCCCCCUGGGGCCUUCUCCCUCUGGGGCCUCCCUCCCUCUGGGACAUUGACCCUGGGGCCUCCCUCCCUCCAGGAUCUCCCUCCCUCUGGGCCUCCAUCCCUCUGGGGCAUUGACCCCGGGGGCUUCCAUCCCUCCGGGGCCUCCCUCCCCCUGGGGCAUGGGCACAGUCAUUUCUCCUGCCUCGCUCACACCUCCCUGCUUGGAUCUUCUGGUUCGUCCCCGCUUCCCGCCUGAAGGCGACGGUGGCCCACAGCACGUCCGACCGGAUUUUUAUCCUGACGCCCUGGCUAAGCCCCUGAUGACUCCCUGGCUUGAAAGGAGCAGCUCUGACCCAGUUAUUCGGCUUCCGUCGUGUCUCUGUAACGAGAGCCCUCGCGGUGAAGGCCUCAGCCACCGGCUUGUUCACCACGCGUGGCUCGUGUCCCCGUGGCUCUGGAUUCCCACCCCCAAGUGGAGGGCGCCGUCGCAUUGGUACGAGCGAUGCAUUAAGACUUGGUCCUUUCUCUGCUCUCAGAAGCCCUGA
rnacentral:lncRNA from 12 species